rnacentral:rRNA from 1 species
AUGCCUCCUAUCUAUGAUGAUUAUGGUGAUGGCAUGUAUGCUAUAUUGAAUAAUGAUAACCAUGAAACUUGUCAUCAUGAUUUUAAUUCUCAAUCUCAUGAUAGUUAUUUUGUUGAGUUUGCUCCCACUACUAUUCAUGAGAAUAAAUUUGCUCAUGUCGAGAGUAACAAAAUUUCUAUGCUUAUGCAUCAUGAAAAGAAUGCUUUAUGUUAUGGUUAUAUUGUUGAAUUUCUUCAUGAUGCUACUGAAUAUUAUUAUGAGGGAGGAACUUAUGCUUGUAGGAAUUGCAAUAAUAUCAAGUUUCCUCUCUAUGUGUUGAAAGUUUUGAAGUUAUGCUUGUUUUGCCUUCCUAUGCUAGUUGAUUCUUGUUCCCAUAAAUUGUUUGCUCACAAAAUCCCUAUGCAUAGAAAGUGGGUUAGAACUAAAUGUGCUAGUCAUAUGCUUCAUGAUGCUCUUGUUAUGUUUCAAUUCUUAUCUUUUCUGUGA